rnacentral:rRNA from 1 species
GACGAACGCUGGCGGCGUGCUUAACACAUGCAAGUCGAACGAGUGGCGAACGGGUGAGUAACACGUGGGUGAUCUGCCUUGCACUUCGGGAUAAGCUUGGGAGACUGGGUCUAAUACCGGAUAGUGCAAGAUGAGCUCGCGGCCUAUCAGCUUGUGGGUGGGGUAAUGGCUACCAAGGCGCGACGGGUAGCCGGACUGAGAGGGUGUACGGGCACAGUGGGAUGGGGAUGCGGGCCAUAGGCAGACGGUAGGCAGCAAUGGGGAAGUUAGCACGAUGGGCGGAGGGCGGAUGCAGGGACGCCGGGUGGUGGAUGAAGGCCUUCGGGGUGUAAACUCCUUUCGACAGGGACGCGGUACCGGAAUAGAAAGCACCGGCUAACUACGUGCCAGCAGCCGCGGUAAUUC